rnacentral:rRNA from 1 species
AACGAACGCUGGCGCGUGCUUAAGACAUGCAAGUCGAACGGUAAGGCCCCCUUCGGGGGGUACACGAGUGGCGCACGGGUGAGUAACGCGUGGGUAAUCUACCUCCGGGUCUGGGACAACCCCGGGAAACUCGGGGCUAAUACCGGAUGAGACCACGAGCUCUUCGGAGCUCGUGGAAAAAGGUGGCCUCUCCUUGGAAGCUACCGCCCGUCGAUGAGCCCGCGUCCCAUUAGCUUGUUGGUGAGGUAACGGCUCACCAAGGCCGCGAUGGGUAGCUGGUCUGAGAGGAUGAUCAGCCACACUGGAACUGAGACACGGUCCAGACUCCUACGGGAGGCAGCAGUCGGGAAUUUUUGGGCAAUGGGCGAAAGCCUGACCCAGCAACGCCGCGUGAGGGAUGAAGGCCUUCGGGUCGUAAACCUCUGUCGGGAGGGAAGAACGGUUUCCAUUCGAAUAGGGUGGAAGCCUGACGGUACCUCCAAAGGAAGCACCGGCUAACUCCGUG